rnacentral:rRNA from 2 species
GGCCACUUGCUGGCGCUGUGCAGCAGCCGCGCUGACCUGAGGUGGAUUCUUAAGUCUGACUAUAAAGCCCCCGGCUCAACCGGGGAGGGUCAUUGGAAACUGGGAAACUUGAGUGCAGAAGAGGAGAGUGGAAUUCCACGUGUAGCGGUGAAAUGCGUAGAGAUGUGGAGGAACACCAGUGGCGAAGGCGACUCUCUGGUCUGUAACUGACGCUGAGGAGCGAAAGCGUGGGGAGCGAACAGGAUUAGAUACCCUGGUAGUCCACGCCGUAAACGAUGAGUGCUAAGUGUUAGAGGGUUUCCGCCCCUUAGUGCUGAAGCUAACGCAUUAAGCACUCCGCCUGGGGAGUACGGUCGCAAGACUGAAACUCAAAGGAAUUGACGGGGGCCCGCACAAGCGGUGGAGCAUGUGGUUUAAUUCGAAGCAACGCGAAGAACCUUACCAGGUCUUGACAUCCUCUGACAAUCCUAGAGAUAGGACGUCUCCUUCGGGAGCAGAGUGACAGGUGGUGCAUGGUUGUCGUCAGCUCGUGUCGUGAGAUGUUGGGUUAAGUCCCGCAACGAGCGCAACCCUUGAUCUUAGUUGCCAGCAUUCAGUUGGGCACUCUAAGGUGACUGCCGGUGACAAACCGGAGGAAGGUGGGGAUGACGUCAAAUCAUCAUGCCCCUUAUGACCUGGGCUACACACGUGCUACUAUGGACAGAACAAAGGGCUGCGAAACCGCGAGGUGAAGCCAAUCCCACAAAUCUGUUCUCAGUUCGGAUCGCAGCUGCACUCGACUGCGUGAAGCUGGAAUCGCUAGUAUCGCGGAUCAGCAUGCCGCGGUGAAUACGUCCCCCGGGGUCUUAUA